CCCAAAUAGACAACGUCAGGCAGUUCUACACGAACCGUAAGCUGCAGGACUUGAAACAUUACUCGAAGCACGUGGGGCGGGCCCUAGUAUGGGUUCAGACUCUGACGAAGCAUAAGGCGUACAGCAAGUAGCACAACACAACCGUACUAGUGCGGGCAGGCAAAAACAAAGCUGGCGCUGAAAGUGAUAAAUCUCCUUAACUACCGCCACUACAGCCGGUCUGGGACCGUCACCACCGGACAUGCCGAUGACGGACCUGUCCGUUGCCGGAGAUUACCGGUUUCUUCAUAAAGGCAGGAGCGUGUCGAUGUACUUCAGCAGAAUACUACGGACAUGCAGAUUCACAGUCCCCAACCGAAUAGCGAUGCCAGAUCAACCAGAUCCGGAACCAGCAGCACAAUGGGUCACCGCAUAUGAUCAAGGCAGGCGGCCGCGACGGAAGUGGUGAUGUGCAGCUGUUUCAACAAUGUGCCAGACGAUGUGUUAGGUUCCUCGAAGGGCAUUUGGAUGCACUGGAACCAAUCGCCCGGGAGGACCGAUAGGCUACCAUGAAAUCCGACCCAGAUAGACCAGAUUGUUGAUGAUUUGUUUUAUCAAUUUGAUCUCUGUUACCAGAAAAAAGGUUUACCGAUGACUGAAAGAUGGAUGCUGGCUCCCAACACCAAGAUUGUGUUCUACGACAACAAUUGUACCAUUCUGCAACGUCUGUACAGCAAAAGCAUCUUGGUGGUGUGCAACAUGAUUGGCCGACUGCCAAUUUCCUGUCCUAGAUGCGGCCAAGCUGACCAACGCCGUCUUCAACUUGGACACCGAAAGUAAAUUCUAGUCAGCGUACAGCGACCAACACGCCUAUCUUCAGCCUGAAGUCGGUGAAUUCCGCCGAGAGGCUGCUCGUGGAACACUCGCUUGACACGGAUGUGGUCCAUGGCUACCUCGAGCUUUUAUGGCUUCGGGUAACGGUAACAAGGAAAAAGCUCACCCUGAGCAGU